rnacentral:rRNA from 1 species
UCGAGUGGCGAACGGGUGAGUAACACGUGGGUGAUCUGCCCUGCACUUCGGGAUAAGCCUGGGAAACUGGGUCUAAUACCGGAUAGGAGCCAUUUUUAGUGUGAUGGUUGGAAAGUUUUUUCGGUGUAGGAUGAGCUCGCGGCCUAUCAGCUUGUUGGUGGGGUAAUGGCCUACCAAGGCGGCGACGGGUAGCCGGCCUGAGAGGGUGGACGGCCACAUUGGGACUGAGAUACGGCCCAGACUCCUACGGGAGGCAGCAGUGGGGAAUAUUGCACAAUGGGCGCAAGCCUGAUGCAGCGACGCCGCGUGGGGGAUGACGGCCUUCGGGUUGUAAACUCCUUUCGCUAGGGACGAAGCUUUUGUGACGGUACCUAGAUAAGAAGCACCGGCUAACUACGUGCCAGCAGCCGCGGUAAUACGUAGGGUGCGAGCGUUGUCCGGAAUUACUGGGCGUAAAGGGCUCGUAGGUGGUUUGUCGCGUCGUCUGUGAAAUUCCGGGGCUUAACUCCGGGCGUGCAGGCGAUACGGGCAUAACUUGAGUACUGUAGGGGUAACUGGAAUUCCUGGUGUAGCGGUGAAAUGCGCAGAUAUCAGGAGGAACACCGAUGGCGAAGGCAGGUUACUGGGCAGUUACUGACGCUGAGGAGCGAAAGCAUGGGUAGCGAACAGGAUUAGAUACCCUGGUAGUCCAUGCCGUAAACGG